CAUGUGAACAACGUGUGAAACAUUCUAGUAGCAUAAGUUGCGCGUUUCAGCGAUGGAGAAGAAAUUUGUAGAGCAGAAAGAAUAUUUAAAGAAAUACUUGUCCUCCGGAGAUGGCGACGAUAAAAAGAAGAAAAAGAAGAAGAAGAUGAAACUAGGAACUAAAACAGUUAAAAUCGUUGAUGAUGACAUAGACCUGAAGAACAUGAGACCUAUGGAAGAAAAUGAAUUUGAUAUCUUCGUGGAUGCAGAAGAUGCACCUCAAAUUGCUGGUGUAGUAGAUGAACGUGGACCAGUUGACUUCUCAGAUAAAAGGAGAUGGAAAAUUGUAGCAGAUGACGAAGGUGGAGACUUGACCGUCACCAGUUCUAACAAAGAAAACAAACAAUCUAAAAAAGUAAAGAACCAUGAUUUAUCUCCACCAAGAAAACAAAAGAAACAUUUAGAUAAUGAUUUAUCUCCUCCAAGAGUAUCCAAAAAGAACAAAGCAGAUGCAGAUAGUGAUUUAAGUCCACCUAGAAGGAAGUCUAAGAAACAUGCGCACAAAGCUUCGCAAAGUAAUAGUGACAGUGAUAAUAGUUCAACAGACAUUCCAACUGGUAAAAUUAAAAAGAAGACAAGGAGGAAAGAGAGAUCUGAUUCUGAUUUGAGUCCACCAAGAAAGAGUAAAAAGAUUAUAAAACAUAGAGAUAAAAAUGAUUCAGAUUUAAGUCCUCCUAGAAGAAAUAGGAAAGAUUCUGAUUCAGAUUUAACCCCUCCUAGGAGAAGUAGGAAGUACUCUGAUUCAGAUUUAAAUCCACCAAAAAAUAAGAAACAUAAAAACCAUGACUCUGAUCUGAGUCCUCCAAGGCAGAAUAAAAAGCAUAAAAAUUCACAUUCUGGACAUAAUGAUUUCAGUCCACAGAGGGAACAUAAGCAUAGAGGUUCACACAAAGAUAAAAAUUAUAAACAUUCUGAUAAGAGUUCCAAGCCAUAUAGGAGAUAUUAUGAUUCAGAUAUGAGCCCACCUCGAAGAAAGAACAGAGAUAUAAGCCCUAGCAGAGAUGGCAAUGAUUUCCAUAAGUCUAAAAGGAAUAGAUCGGAUGAUAAAUAUAAACGCGAUUCUCACACAGAGAAUUCUUAUAGAAAGGAAAAGUCGAGGCAUAGAGAUACUGACUAUGCGGAUAAUGAAAGACGAAUGAAGAAGACAUUAGAUGGAAAGACAGCAGGAUUGCAAAAUGCCAGGGCGUUAAGAGAAGAAACAGAGGCGCAUAAAAAACGAGAAGCUGAACACUUCAACAAGCUUAGCAAAGAAGUUACCGGGGUCGGUCAAGCAGUGGUUCUACGCGAUUCAAAAACUGGAAGAAAACGUAACUUAGAAGCUGAAGCGGCCGAGGAACGUGAGAAACAAAAGCGACAAUCAGAAUUGAAUGAAAAAUAUGCUAAAUGGGGAGCAGGUUUGAAACAGGUAGAGGAUCGUGAAGAGAAAUUAAAAGAUGAUCUCUAUGAAAUGAGUAAACCAUUAGCAAGGUAUGCCGAUGACGCUGAUUUAGAUAAAAGACUCCGAGAACAGGAGAGAGAAGGUGAUCCCAUGUUGGAAUAUAUCAAACAGAAGCAAAUAAAGGAAGGCAAGAGGAAACCAGACCGACCAUCGUACCAAGGAUCAUAUAUGCCAAAUCGUUUUGGUAUUAAACCGGGUCACAGAUGGGACGGGGUGGAUAGAAGUAAUGGAUACGAAAAACGAUGGUUCGAGGCUCAAAACGCGAAGGUAGCUCGUCAAGAAGAAGCUUACAAAUGGAGCACUUCGGACAUGUAAAAUAAAAAAAACGAGACGAGUACGAAAGCUGGCGCCUGUCUGCCACCAGUCUGCUCGUUGCAAGCAAGUUUGUGAAAUCAAUGAGAGCUAAAAGUACACACCAGAGUUGGGAGUGGCGAAUUGCAUUGAGAGCCUAAAUAAAUUAAAGCGGCUGGGACGCUUGUUCCUUCAAGCAGAUUCUCAAGUAAAGUCUCCGCGCGACCGUAGAUGCGUACGCACAAUCGAAUCGCAAAUAUAUAUCGACUCGCGUAGUCGAGACGCAAGGGCAGGGUCGACGGCUGUGUCAGUACGCCUCGCGACACCGACGGGAUACCUGUGUUCUUCGUCUCGUGUAGGUUAGGGUUUAGUGUUCGCCGGUUGUAGCUUUUGUACGCUCUUUUAAUACCGUAGAUUACCUUCGUCGGCCAAAUAAGAAUUAAAGAAUCUACCUAUACGUCCAGUUUGACCAACCGCACAAAAUAAUUGUAUAUUUCCCCCCUGAGUAACGUAAGCCGGUACCACGCCGUGUCGUUCACCUCCAGUCAAAAUUACUUUUUUUUUUUUAA